CAAAAGCAAGAAAUAUUUUGGCCUUCACCAUUUUUUUAUUAGAAGAAUACCUUAGGUGAUGUUGAUUUUAUCAUUAAUUAAUGCUUAUCGAUUAUGCAAGCAUAUUUUUUUUAUGCAAAAUGGGAGCUGAUGUAUUAUCAUUCCGUUUUGGAGUGUGAAUAUGACCGCUAAAACACUUCCGUGACUUUGUCAAUUGGCCUCUGAUAGAUUAGUACGGAGUUAUUAAUAUUUUGAAUCAAUGUAGAAAUUACAGUUGUUAUGGAAUCAUCAGUUGACGAAUUUACCAUUUUGUUAUACUUCUCGUUUCACCAUUACAGUUUAAAUUCUUCACUAAGAGUUUUCAUUGUUAAUUAUUCUAUAUGCGUCCUUUGAGGCUUUGUACACAUCAAUGCAAGAACGUUCUAAAAAUUUUUUAUGGUUCCAUGGUACUUUUGUUACCAUAUGAACUUCAAGAUGUAUGUUUCCUGCCAUAACUUUUACAUUAUGCAUUGAUGAGGGACAUCUUCCUUCAAGAAUAAUUUUAUAUCCAAGUGUUGUUUUAAUCAAAGUGUAAGUUAAUUCAGAGUUUUUUUGUGGUCAACCAACAAUUCUUUUAUGUAGGAUCAGCCCUAUAGGAGUUGAGAUAGGAUGUUCCCUUUUAGAUAUAGCCUAUUAUAAAGAGGAUAGUAGUUGGUUAUUAUUAUAAUAGGAUUUAUGUUUCCUUUUAUUUUAGAGUUUUAUUUCCUUUUUAGGAUUUUAGUUUACUUUCCAUUUAGAAUUUUAGUUUUUACCUUAUAUUUAAGGGAAUUAUUUCAAUAAGCAUUUUUUACAACAAAAUUAUUUUUUUACAUAUUUUCAAGGUUUUCAAAUUUAUUUUUGUUAUAAAAUUUUCAAUUUUGCUUCCGCCCCACUUUUUCUGAAGUCACUAAGGAAGUCUUGUGUGCUGCAGGCAGCAAUGAAUGAUAAUUUGACAGAAGCCAAUACCGCAAAGCAAAACUCAAAAAGAUUCAGCACUAAGAAGCCUUCUGUGUUGCAGGCAACAAAGAAAGAUGAUGUGACCAGAGCAAGAACUUGUGUCACCAAAGGCAUUUCAGUUGGCAAAAUUCAAUCUAAUUCGUCUUCUUUUAAGGGAAAAAAUGAUUUCUCUGAGGCCAUUGGUGAGGGAAAAGAAUUUUCGGUGAAUCCAUCUUCACGUGACGUUCCAAAGAAAAUUUGUGAGUCAAAUAUACCCGAAUCAGAAGAUGAGGUGGUGCAACAAGCGAUGGAAUUGGACAUUCCAAAGAAAAGUUGUGAAUCAAAUAUACACGAUUCAGAAGAUGAGGUGAUGCAACAAGCAAUGGAAUUCUUAGGAGAGUUUCACAACCAUGAACUUU
rnacentral:lncRNA from 1 species